AUGGACGGUGGAGGUGGACAGUGGAGAUGGAGGGUAGUGAUGUACAGUGGACAUGGACAGUGGAGAUAGAGGGUGGUGAUGGACAGUGGAGAUAGAGGGUGGUGAUGGACAGUGGAGAUAGAGGGUAGUGAUGGACAGUGGAGAUAGAAGGUGGUGAUGGACAGUGGACAUGGACGGUGGAGACAGACAGUGGUGAUGGACAGUGGAGAUAGAGGGUGGUGAUGGACAGUGGAGAUAGAAGGUGGUGAUGGACAGUGGACAUGGACGCUGGAGAUAGAGGGUGGUGAUGGACAGUGGAGAUAGAGGGUGGUGAUGGACAGUGGAGAUAGAGGGUGGUGAUGGAUGGUGGACAUGGAUAGUGGAGAUAGAGGGUGGUGAUGGAUGGUGGACAUCGAUAGUGGAGUUGAAGGGUGGAGAUGGAGGGUGGUGAUGGAUGGCAGUGAUGGAGGGUGGAGAUGGAGGGUGGUGAUGGAGGGUGGAGGGUAGUGAUGGACAGUGGAGAUGGAGG
rnacentral:lncRNA from 1 species